rnacentral:rRNA from 1 species
CCUACGGGAGGCUGCAGUGGGGAAUAUUGGACAAUGGGGGCAACCCUGAUCCAGCCAUGCCGCGUGUGUGAAGAAGGCCCUCGGGUUGUAAAGCACUUUCAGUGAGGAAGAACGCCUGGUGGUUAAUACCCAUCAGGAAAGACAUCACUCACAGAAGAAGCACCGGCUAACUCCGUGCCAGCAGCCGCGGUAAUACGGAGGGUGCGAGCGUUAAUCGGAAUUACUGUGCGUAAAGCGCGCGUAGGUGGCUUGAUAAGCCGGUUGGGAAAGCCCCGGGCUCAACCUGGGAACGGCAUCCGGAACUGUCAAGCUAGAGUGCAGGAGAGGAAAGUAGAAGUCCCGGUGUAGCGGUGAAAUGCGUAGAGAUCGGGAGGAAUACCAGUGGCGAAGGCGGCCCUCUGGACUGACACUGACGCUGAGGUGCGAAAGCGUGGGUAGCAAACAGGAUUAGAUACCCGAGUAGUC